GACCGUGCGCGUCUGUCCGGUAUCGUCCAAGUCUCCAUGAAUGGGGCCAGCAACCCAGAGAGGGUGUCAGGCCCGUGGGACGAGCCGCGACGGCGUAUUGGGUCUCUCCUUAGAGUCGGGUUGCUUGAGAGUGCAGCCCUAAGCGGGAGGUAAACUCCUUCUAAGGCUAAAUACGGCCACGAGACCGAUAGCGAACAAGUACCGCGAGGGAAAGUUGAAAAGAACUUUGAAGAGAGAGUUCAAUAGUGCGUGAAACCGUUCAGGGGGUUAAACGGGUGGGCCCUCGAAGGUCGAACGGUCCCCAUUCCAGUCAUUCGCAGGCCGGUCCGCGUCGUUUCAUCCGAUCUCGCUACGAGACGGUGCGGCGCGGGUCGCCGGUCUACGAGGGCCGCAAGUUGGGGACCCAGUAGGACUCCGCAACCGUCUGGGAGGCCGUCAGAAGGGUUCCGGUAGAAAGCCCCCUCUGGGGGUGGACUCUGGGAUUUCCGGACGGUCCUCCCGGCCGUAAACCUGCAUUCUCUCGAACGGUGCGUGGGACGAGCCUCGGUUCGCAAGGGCCGGGGUUGUCGGUUUCACAGCCGCUCGGGAGACGCGCGGAGAGUAGAGUCGGGUCCCACCCGACCCGUCUUGAAACACGGACCAAGGAGUCUAACAUGUGCGCGAGUCGUCGGGUUUGACUAAACCCGAAGGCGCAAUGAAAGUGAAGACCGUCCUCGUUGGCGUGUCUAGGGG
rnacentral:rRNA from 1 species